rnacentral:rRNA from 1 species
ACACGACUACAUUAGAUACCCGUGUAGUCCUAGCCGUAAACGAUACUCGCUAGGUGUCGGCCACGGUGCGACCGUUGUCGGUGCCGUAGGGAAGCCGUGAAGCGAGCCACCUGGGAAGUACGGCCGCAAGGCUGAAACUUAAAGGAAUUGGCGGGGGAGCACCACAACGGGUGGAGCUUGCGGUUUAAUUGGAUUCAACGCCGGAAAUCUUACCGGGACCGACAGCAAUAUGAAGGCCAGGCUGAAGACUUUGCCGGAUUAGCUG